AACCCAUGGUGGUGACAACUUCUCAAAAGGUCUUUGUAUCUCUCCCAUGCAUCAUAGAGUGUUUCUAAAUCUAUCUGCACAAAAGAAGAUAUAUCAUUAUGUAAUU
rnacentral:snoRNA from 1 species